UACAGAGGGGGCAAGCGUUGUUCGGAAUUACUGGGCGUAAAGGGCGCGUAGGCGGCCCGCUAAGUCGAACGUGAAAUCCCCGGGCUCAACCCGGGAACUGCGUCCGAUACUGGUGGGCUUGAAUCCGGGAGAGGGAUGCGGAAUUCCAGGUGUAGCGGUGAAAUGCGUAGAUAUCGUGGAGGAACACCGGUGGCGAAGGCGGCAUCCUGGACCAACACUGACGCUGAGUGAGCGAAAGCCAGGGGAGCAAACGGG
rnacentral:rRNA from 1 species